AAUAAGUGUAGUUUUAUAAAAAUUCAUAUCCAGCGUUUGACCGUUCGUCUUAUUUGAAUUUUUUUCAUGAUUAGUAUUUUUAUUGUAUUAGGUUAUAAAACAUGAAUAGUACUUUAUGUGUGACUAAUUUUUUUAAAAAAUUAUAAAAUUUUCAAAUCAGAUGGACGGUACACGGAUACCCAUGGCUGCACUUAUU
rfam:Oryza sativa Japonica Group DNA, chromosome 6, cultivar: Nipponbare, complete sequence.